rnacentral:rRNA from 1 species
CAAUAGCGUAUAUUUAAGUUGUUGCAGUUAAAAAGCUCGUAGUUGGAUUUCGGGUGGGACGCAGCGGUCUCGCAUUGCGUUUGUACUGCUGCAGCCCUCCUUCUUGCCGGGGGCGGCCUCUCGGACUUCACUGCCUGGGGGUCAGAAUCGGCGAUGUUACUUUGAGUAAAUUAGAGUGUUCAAAGCAAGCUUACGCUCUGAAUAUAAUAGCAUGGGAUAACACGACAGGACUCUGGCCUAUCGUGUUGGUCUAUAGGACCAGAGUAAUGAUUAAGAGGGACAGUCGGGGGCAUUCGUAUUCCGUUGUCAGAGGUGAAAUUCUUGGAUUUACGGAAGACGAACAUCUGCGAAAGCAUUUGCCAAGGAUGUUUNCAUUGA